UCUGUCCCACACGGACCCUGGGACCCUAUCUCCGGUCACCCGUGGGCCUGGCUGUCAUCAUAGGCAAGGGAACUGCGUCUGUCCUCUCUCCCCCAAAUGACUUUUAGCGAAUUAUUCGUUUUCUGCUCUUCGUGUUGAUUAUUUAAUUGAUGGUUGAACAACCGAAGGCCAGUGCUAUUUAGUCAGCUUUGAAGAGAGAAACUGGCCAGGACAGUUUUCCCAACUCUGAGAACGCUGUUUAAAAUCACGCUCACAGUGGUCCCCAGGUGGCUGAAAGGUGGACGACCACCUGAGCGCUCGCUGCUGCGGUUUCUUUCCUUUUUGGUAGAAAAAUGGUUUUAGCCCUAUCGAUGGGAGGCAGCAGCACACUCCGAACAGGCCUCACAGCUGAAAUCCGCGCUGAGGAGACGGCGGCCCUGGAAUGAUCCCUCUGGAAUGACGUGUUGCUUCGUGUACAAGUGUCUCUGGCUGGCGUGACCUGCGACGUGAGCACACGUGGGCAGGUCUGAGCUGCAGUGACUGAUGCUCCAAGAGGGCAGGGUCGCCACGUCCUGGGAGCGUGCCACAUGGAGGGCCUCGCGUGGACACGUGGCCAAGAAUGUGCUCCAAGAUGACAGGGAUGUUCGCUGGGGUCACCAGAGCAGAGUCCAACAACUAGCCAGGAAGCUCUGGAGGAGUCGGGACACGCAGUGCCUCUGCUGUGUGCGGGUCGCCAGGGCCCCGCUGUCCUCGUCACCUGGUGAGAGAACAGAUGGCUGGAGCUUGAAGCAGCGAUGCCUGCUCUGUGGUCCUGUCCUGCUGGUUCCCAAGGGAGGCACCGAUGACGUCCACCUGCGCCCGCGCCCCUAUGAGGCUGGUAUUGCUGUGCCCAUUUUAUGGAUGAUCACAGCGAGGUCAGUGGAGCCAGUUUAUUGGAACGUGCUGCAGGUGUAAUGACAUCAGACGGCAUGGCAGUUCCUGGCGUGGCACAGCUCCCCAAGUAGGCGGGUCUCCCCCAGCCUUCCCUGGGGGCCAGGCCGGCCCUGUAGAGCUCUGUCCUGUUGGCAGAUGUCCUCAUCAAUCAGACACAGUGGCAAGAACAGUACAAUGGACACCCAGAAACUCGGUUGUGGAGACUGAACAACUGCUGG